rnacentral:rRNA from 1 species
AACAGGAUUAGAUACCCUGGUAGUCCACGCCGUAAACGGUGGAUGCUGGAUGUGGGGCCCGUUCCACGGGUUCCGUGUCGGAGCUAACGCGUUAAGCAUCCCGCCUGGGGAGUACGGCCGCAAGGCUAAAACUCAAAGAAAUUGACGGGGGCCCGCACAAGCGGCGGAGCAUGCGGAUUAAUUCGAUGCAACGCGAAGAACCUUACCUGGGCUUGACAUGUUCCCGACAGCCGUAGAGAUAUGGCCUCCCUUCGGGGCGGGUUCACAGGUGGUGCAUGGUCGUCGUCAGCUCGUGUCGUGAGAUGUUGGGUUAAGUCCCGCAACGAGCGCAACCCUCGCCCUGUGUUGCCAGCACGUCAUGGUGGGAACUCACGGGGGACCGCCGGGGUCAACUCGGAGGAAGGUGGGGAUGACGUCAGAUCAUCAUGCCCCUUACGUCCAGGGCUUCACGCAUGCUACAAUGGCCGGUACAACGGGAUGCGACACGGCGACGUGGAGCGGAUCCCUGAAAACCGGUCUCAGUUCGGAUUGGAGUCUGCAACCCGACUCCAUGAAGGCGGAGUCGCUAGUAAUCGCGGAUCAGCAACGCCGCGGUGAAUGCGUUCCCGGGCCUUGUACACACCGCCCGUCAAGUCAUGAAAGUGGGUAGCACCCGAAGCCGGUGGCCCGACCCUUGUGGGGGGAGCCGUCUAAGGUGAGACUCGUGAUUGGGACUAAGUCGUAACAAGGUAGCCGUACCGGAAGGUGCGGCUG